CAGCUUACUCAACGUGAACACGAUAAGGAUGAAGACAUUUAUGAUGAUCCACUUCCACUUAGUGAAUAGAGCAAUGUUGUAAUAAAGGGCCUUGUUCUUGGCUGAGAAUUUCACAUCCAAUAAAUCAAACCGAUGACCAACAAUAUGGUGGAAAAGCAGAACCAAACAAUAAAAUUACACUUCAAAAUCCAAGGAUUUCAGAACUCAAAGGGACCUCAGAGACGACAGAUUUGCAGAGGAUGCAGCAGGUGAGUCCUGUAGACAUCAGAGGGGCUUCGACGCUGCACAGCUGCCACUCAGAGGGGACACUGCUGGCCUCGAUCACAUCAUGGAGACCACAAGGAUGCUGGGAAUGCACUUCCCAUUGGCCGAGCUGAGGAUAUGAGCAGGCCAUGGUAGCAUCUCUUCCUCAAAGAUGAGCCAGCCGUCAUUUGAAGAGGAGGAAAGACUGGAUUGGGGAAGAAUCUGGGGCAAAAUGAAGCCAAAUUGAGAACGAGGAGAAAAGAAGAUGCUAAGGCCGCAGAUAAGGAGGUCUUGAGUGUUACAGCUCUUUUUGAAUUUGUCUAGCAUGCUUUCUGCUUUUUACUGGAAAGUGCCCCCCCCCAAAAAAAUAAAAACGAAUAAAUAAAAAAGAAAGAUUUAAAAAAUAAAAGAGAAA
rnacentral:lncRNA from 1 species